GGUUAGGGCCUGGGUUAGGGGUGAGUGUCUGGUUUAGGGGUUAGGGUAACAGGUUAGGGUCUGGUUUAGGGGUGAGGGUAACAGGUUAGGUUUUGGGGUGAGGGUAACAGGUCAGGGUCUGGUUUUGGGUUGAGGGUCUGGUUUAGGGGUUAGGGUAACAGGUUAUGGUCUGGUUUAGGGGUGAGGGUCUGGUUUAGGGGUUAGGGUAACAGGUUAGGGUCUGGUUUAGGGGUGAGGGUCUGGUUUAGGGGUUAGGGUAACAGGUUAGGGUCUGGUUUAGGGGUUAGGGUAACAGGUUAGGUUCUGGUUUAGGGGUGAGGGUCUGGUUUAGGGGUUAGGGUAACAGGUUAGGGUCUGGUUUAGGGGUUAGGGUAAGAGGUUAGGGUCUGGUUAAGGGGUUAGGGUCUGGUUUUGUGGUUAGGGUAACAGGUUAGGGUCUGGGUUAGGGGUGAGGGUCUGGUUUAGGGGUUAGGGUAACAGGUUAGGGUCUGGUUUAGGGGUGAGGGUAACAGGUUAGGGCCUGGUUUUGGGGUGAGGGUAACAGGUUAGGGCCUGGUUUUGGGGUGAGGGUAACAGGUUAGGGUCUGGUUUAGGGGUGAGGGUCUGGUUUAGGGGUUAGGGUAACAGGUUAUGGUCUGGUUUAGGGGUGAGGGUCUGGUUUAGGGGUUAGGGUAACAGGUUAGGGUCUGGUUUAGGGGUGAGGGUAAGAGGUCAGGGUCUGGUUUAGGGGUGAGGGUAACAGGUCAGGGUCUGGUUUAGGGGUUAGGGUAACAGGUUAGAGUAACAGGUUAGGGGUUAGGGUAACAGGUUAGGGCCUGGUUUAGGGGUUGGGGUCUGGUUUAGGGGUUAGGGUAACCGGUUAGGGUCUGGUUUAGGGGUUAGGGUAACAGGUUAGGGUAACAGGUUAGGGCCUGGUUUAGGGGUUAGGGUAACAGGUUAGGGUCUGGUUUAGGGGUGAGGGUAACAGGUUAGGGUCUGGUUUAGGGGUGAGGGUAACAGGUUAGGGUAACAGGUUAGGGCCUGGUUUAGGGGUGAGGGUAACAGGUUAGGGUAACAGGUUAGGGUCUGGUUUAGGGGUGAGGGUAACAGGUUAGGGUAACAGGUUAGGGUCUGGUUUAGGGGUGAGGGUAACAGGUUAGGGUAACAGGUUAGGGCCUGGUUUAGGGGUGAGGGUAACAGGUUAGGGUAACAGGUUAGGGCCUGGUUUAGGGGUGAGGGUAACAGGUUAGGGCCUGGUUUAGGGGUGAGGGUAACAGGUUAGGGUAACAGGUUAGGGCCUGGUUUAGGGGUGAGGGUAACAGGUUAGGGUCUGGUUUAGGGGUGAGGGUAACAGGUUAGGGCCUGGUUUAGGGGUGAGGGUAACAGGUUAGGGUAACAGGUUAGGGCCUGGUUUAGGGGUGAGGGUAACAGGUUAGGGUCUGGUUUAGGGGUGAGGGUAACAGGUUAGGGUAACAGGUUAGGGCCUGGUUUAGGGGUGAGGGUAACAGGUUAGGGUCUGGUUUAGGGGUGAGGGUAACAGGUUAGGGUAACAGGUUAGGGCCUGGUUUAGGGGUGAGGGUAACAGGUUAGGGUCUGGUUUAGGGGUGAGGGUAACAGGUUAGGGUAACAGGUUAGGGCCUGGUUUAGGGGUGAGGGUAACAGGUUAGGGUCUGGUUUAGGGGUGAGGGUAACAGGUUAGGGCCUGGUUUAGGGGUGAGGGUAACAGGUUAGGGUAACAGGUUAGGGUAACAGGUUAGGGUCUGGUUUAGGGGUGAGGGUAACAGGUUAGGG